UCGGUCAAUAAAUAACUUUGACAUACAUUUUAAUCAAUGUUUAUCAAAACAACAUUUAAGAUAAUAGUUUAUUGUGUGGGUUUUGUCAGUUUGUUUUUAGAUUGCUUUCCUUAUAUUUUUUUUAUUUUUUUUCUCUCAUGUGGUUUUGGUAAAGUGCAUUUUUUUUUUCUUUUUCCUUUUAUACAUAUUAUUUUUAGGUCGUCCUCCAUUAAGAUCGAGUUUUAGAUUGUCCACUUAGGUCGUCCUUCAUAUCAGAACGAUCACCAAGUUUAUCCUUCACAUCCAGACCGGUCGUUUAGGUCGUCCUCCACCAAGGCUGAGCUUUGCAAGGACGAUCUCUAUCACCCAAAGCUCCUUCUAGUUAGGCUUCCGCAGGUUGAGCAUUCCAAGCAUAUGUCUUAGGCUAACCUCUUGGAAAACCGAUCUCUAUUGCUGAGCUCCUUAUUACCAAGCUCUUUUUAGCCAAGCUCCUUCCAAUCGAGCUUCUCGACCAAGCUCCACAUAUGCUAACCUCUUUUAAGGUUGAGCUACUCUAAGAUGAGUUCCUCAAGG
rnacentral:lncRNA from 1 species